CGGACUGGUGAGUAACGCGUAAAGCAAUCGUGCCUAAUCAGAGGGGAAUAACAGUGAGAAAUCAUUGCUAAUACCGCAUAUGCCAUGAACAUCGCAUGAUGAAAAUGGGAAAGGAGUAAUCCGCUGAUAGAUGAGCUUGCGUCUGAUUAACUUGUUGUGGGGUAACGGCCUACCAAGGUAACGAUCAGUAGCCGGACUGAGAGGUUUGAACGGCCACAUUGGGACUGAGAUACGGCCCAGACUCCUACGGGAGGCAGCAGUCGGGAAUAUUGCGCAAUGGAGGAAACUCUGAACCGCAGUGACGCCGCGUAUAGGAUGAAGGUUUUCGGAUUGUAAACUAUUGUCGUUAGGGAAGAUAAAAGACAGUACCUAAGGAGGAAGCUCCGGCUAACUACGUGCCAGCAGCUGC
rnacentral:rRNA from 1 species